rnacentral:misc_RNA from 1 species
AACGCACCUUGCGCUCUCUGGUAUUCCGGAGAGCAUGCCUGUUUGAGUGUCAUGAACUCUUCAACCCACCGGUUCCUUGUUGGAUCGUGUGGUGUUUGGAUUUUGAGCGCUUGCUAGUCGAAAGACUUUUAGCUCGCUCGUAAUACAUUAGCAUCUCAAUUUCGUAAUCGGAUUGACUCAGCGUAAUAGACUAUUCGCUGAGGACACGGGGUUUUACCUUGUGGCCGAACAUGAAUGAGUAUAGAAGCUUCCAACCCCUCUAGUCACCUUUAGAUUAGACCUCAGAUCAGGCAGGAUUACCCGCUGAACUUAA